rnacentral:rRNA from 1 species
CGCUACCCCAGUCAAGA